rnacentral:rRNA from 1 species
GACGAACGCUGGCGGCGUGCUUAACACAUGCAAGUCGAGCGGUAAGGCCCCUUCGGGGGUACACGAGCGGCGAACGGGUGAGUAACACGUGGGUGACCUGCCCUCAGCUCUGGGAUAAGCCUGGGAAACUGGGUCUAAUACCGGAUAUGACUCCAUGACGCAUGUCGUGGGGUGGAAAGCCUUGUGCGGCUGGGGAUGGGCCCGCGGCCUAUCAGCUUGUUGGUGGGGUGAUGGCCUACCAAGGCGACGACGGGUAGCCGGCCUGAGAGGGCGACCGGCCACACUGGGACUGAGACACGGCCCAGACUCCUACGGGAGGCAGCAGUGGGGAAUA